rnacentral:rRNA from 1 species
CCUACGGGUGGCAGCAGUGGGGAAUAUUGCACAAUGGGGGAAACCCUGAUGCAGCGACGCCGCGUGAGUGAAGAAGUAUUUCGGUAUGUAAAGCUCUAUCAGCAGGGAAGAAAUAGCGACCUUUGGGUCGCCAGACGGUACCUGAUUAAGAAGCCCCGGCUAACUACGUGCCAGCAGCCGCGGUAAUACGUAGGGGGCAAGCGUUAUCCGGAUUUACGGGGUGUAAAGGGAGCGUAGACGGCAGCGCAAGUCUGAAGUGAAAUGGCGGGGCUUAACCCCGGAACUGCUUGGGAAACUGUGCAUCUAGAGUGCAGGUGAGGUAAGUGGAAUUCGCAGUGUAGCGGUGAAAUGCUUAGAUAUUGCGCAGAACUCCGAUUGCGAAGGCAGCAUACCGGCGGCGAUCUGACGCUGAGGCACGAAAGCGUGGGUAUCGAACAGGAUUAGAUACCCCUGUAGUC